rnacentral:lncRNA from 1 species
CCAUAUUUUCAACACUCCUGCUGCUGCAUCUUUAAAAAUAAAAAUAAAAUAUUACUUUUAAACCAAUUUUUAAUCAUGAUAUUUUAAACCUUAUUUUUAACCAUGGCAAACAGCAGUUAUGAAGAUUAUAUCAAGAACGAAGUUCAUGCACGUGAUAUGAAGAGAAGACGGAUCAAGUGAAGAAAAUCAAGCCAAAAAGGGGAGAUUUUUUAGGAUUUUUGCCCUGAUUUUCUUACUAUAUUUAAGUUUUAUUUU